GGGCCUAUAGCUCAAUGGUUAGAGCAGGGAACUCAUAAUUCCUUGGUUCCCGGUUCAAAUCCGGGUGGGCCCA
rnacentral:tRNA from 2 species